AAGUAAGUGUCCUCUCCCCAAAGCAAGCUUUGCAGAAACAAUGAGGCCAAAUCACCAUAAGAAUAGCUUGUGCAGGCGGGGCAUGGUGGCUCACACCUGUAAGCCCAGCACUUUUGGAGGCUGAGGGAGGCGGAUCACCUGAGCUCAGGAGUUUGAGACCAGCCUGGCCAACAUGGCAAAACCCCAUCUCUACUAAAAAUACAAAAAUUAGACAAGUUUGGUGGCCCAUGCCUGUUAACCCAGCUACUUGGGAGGCUGAGGCACGAGAAUUGCUUGAACCCGGGAGGCGGAAGUUGCAGUGAGCUGAGAUGGCACCACUGCACUCCAGCUUGGUGGACAGAGCAAGACUCUGAAAAAAAAAAAAAAAAAGAAUAGCUUGUGCAGUGCUAUAAUACAAAAGUGUAUUUUGAAAGCUGUUGAGUCACUAUUAAAUAAUGUUUCUGUAAAAAUGGUUUUGGUGUAUUUGUUGGCAGACACCUAUCCACUGCAUUUAAGAAAGAGAGCUAUUGGGGUAUACUGUGCCUCAUUCUAAUGAGCCCCAAGUGGCCUUUCCACCUUCAUCACUGUACAGUUUACUAAAAUGCAACUAUUAGGAAAACUUCAUCUUUUUAUUUUACAGUACAUCAAGUUGUUGGCAUAUUACCGUCUUGGGUAUUUCUAGUAUACUGAACAUUUAGAUGUUUACCUAC
rnacentral:lncRNA from 10 species